GACGAACGCUGGCGGCGUGCGUAAUACAUGCAAGUAGAACGCUGAAGGAGGAGCUUGCUUCUCUGGAUGAGUUGCGAACGGGUGAGUAACGCGUAGGUAACCUGCCUGGUAGCGGGGGAUAACUAUUGGAAACGAUAGCUAAUACCGCAUAAUAGUAGAUGUUGCAUGACAUUUGCUUAAAAGGUGCAAUUGCAUCACUACCAGAUGGACCUGCGUUGUAUUAGCUAGUUGGUGGGGUAACGGCUCACCAAGGCGACGAUACAUAGCCGACCUGAGAGGGUGAUCGGCCACACUGGGACUGAGACACGGCCCAGACUCCUACGGGAGGCAGCAGUAGGGAAUCUUCGGCAAUGGACGGAAGUCUGACCGAGCAACGCCGCGUGAGUGAAGAAGGUUUUCGGAUCGUAAAGCUCUGUUGUAAGAGAAGAACGAGUGUGAGAGUGGAAAGUUCACACUGUGACGGUAUCUUACCAGAAAGGGACGGCUAACUACGUGCCAGCAGCCGCGGUAAUACGUAGGUCCCGAGCGUUGUCCGGAUUUAUUGGGCGUAAAGCGAGCGCAGGCGGUUAGAUAAGUCUGAAGUUAAAGGCUGUGGCUUAACCAUAGUACGCUUUGGAAACUGUCUAACUUGAGUGCAAGAGGGGAGAGUGGAAUUCCAUGUGUAGCGGUGAAAUGCGUAGAUAUAUGGAGGAACACCGGUGGCGAAAGCGGCUCUCUGGCUUGUAACUGACGCUGAGGCUCGAAAGCGUGGGGAGCAAACAGG
rnacentral:rRNA from 1 species